GAUGAACGCUAGCUACAGGCUUAACACAUGCAAGUCGAGGGACCGGCGCACGGGUGAGUAACACGUAUCCAACCUGCCCUUUACUCGGGGAUAGCCUUUCGAAAGAAAGAUUAAUACCCGAUGUAAAGGAUGGGGAUGCGUUCCAUUAGGUUGUUGGUGAGGUAACGGCUCACCAAGCCUUCGAUGGAUAGGGGUUCUGAGAGGAAGGCCCCCCGCAUUGGAAAUGAGACCCGGACCAAACUCCUACGUGAGGCAGCAGUAAGGAAUAUUGGUCAAUGGGCGUUAGCCUGAACCAGCCAAGUAGCGGGAAGGAUGAAGGCUUAUGGGUCGUAAACUUCUUUUAAAUAAGAAGAGGUAUUAUAUGAAUAAGGAUCGGCUAACUCCGUGCCAGCAGCCGCGGUAAUAC
rnacentral:rRNA from 1 species